UAGAAGUUUGACCAUGGCUCAGAUUGAAGGCUAGCGGGAGUCCUUACACAUGCAAGUCGAGCGGAUGAGGGGAGCUUGCUCCCGGACUCAGCGGCGGACGGGUGAGUAAUGCCUAGGAAUCUGCCUGGUAGUGGGGGACAACGUUUCUAAAGGAGCGCUAAUACCGCAUACGUCUACGGGAGAAAGCAGGGGGUCUUCAGCCUUGCGCUAUCAGAUGAGCCUAGGUCGGAUUAGCUAGUUGGUGGGGUAAAGGCCUACCAAGGCGACGAUCCGUAACUGGUCUGAGAGGAUGAUCAGUCACACUGGACAUGAGACACGGCCCAGCCCCUACGGGAGGCAGCAGUGGGGAAUAUUGGACAAUGUCGAAAGCCUGAUCCAGCCAUCCCGCGUGUGUAAGAAGGUCUUCGGAUUGUAAAGCACUUUAAGUUGGGAGGAAGGGCAGUAAGUUAACCCUGCUGUUUACGUCCACAGAAUAACGGCCGCCGGCUC
rnacentral:rRNA from 1 species